GGUAGGGCUGUUGACUAGAUAAUUAAGAGCACCGAUUGUAUAUACAGGGUGCGGCCGAACAACGUGUAUCAUACAAGCGGACACCAGGUUAUUCCUUAUGAAAAAAUAAGAACGAAAUAUAAUAUUGGGUUGGAAACUAAGUGAUUGCGGAUUUUGUCAUUAGGUAGUAUUGACAAAAGCCGCAAUCACUUAGUUGCCCAAUAGAUAAGAAAAGAAUUAAAUGGAAUAAAAUUUGUUCAUUUGAGGCUUAGUUUACGAGAGAAUCGAGUUUGAAAAUUUAUCAAGUAUAGUGGAACAUGACUGUAUUCCGAAUAACAGUGGAAUAUACAUUGAAAAACCAAGGUAACUAUAACACCGAUAAUCUACAAACGUCACUGACCACAAAAUAGAUUCAACACGUUUUUUCGCGGUCGCGUAACAAUCGUCAACGGGUUAAUCGAUGACAUCUAUGGGCAAGGACGGACUAGUCGAUUCGCGUGUGUUUAGAAGGACGUGCACGCAGCGUACAGGUCGGUGUACAGUGCGGUAACAAUAGUAACACUGACAGCAACAGUAAAAGACAACGACUACCUCGUUAUCUACGAAGGCGACUAACUAUGUAUACGAGUGAACUAUGAAUACGAUGAAGGCGAGUAACUAUGAACAACUUGAAAGAAUUUCACCCUCUAACCUGCUCAUAACUAUAUUCAAGGCUUCGUAAAUGCUCGAGCAAAAUUCACGUUGCACAUGCAAAUCGGUUUAAGUUAGGUUAGGUUAGGCUGAGAUUCAACGCGACGUUUUCGCUGUUGACUACAUUGGUUCUGAAGUUGGCGUAAUUUGGAUACUAGAGUGGUAUUCGAAUCGUAUUAAACAAGACGGCAUGGAUACGCGAAUAGCUUUUCGAACGAUGUUGGAUGCCAGUCGUGGUGCUCCUGCAGGCUUGCAAAAUCGUAACAGGUAUUCGAAUAUUCUGUCGAAUUCGUCUGGAUUAUUUUUGGAUUAUUCGUCUGAAUUAUUUUUGGAUUACUCGUUUGGAUUAUAGAAGUUGUAUUAUUAACAAGAGGAAGCUAUGGGUGAAUGGCUUCUGGGACGACGUUAGAUGCUAGUCAUGGUGUUUCUGCAAGCUUGCAAAAUCGUAACAGAUAUUCGAAUGUUCUGUCGAAUUCGUCUGAAUUAUUUUUGGAUUAUUCGUUUGGAUCAUAGAAGUUGUAUUAUAAAUAAGAGGGAGCCACGGGUGAAUGGCUUCUGGAACGACGUUAGAUGCGAGUCAUGGUGUUUCUGCAAGCUUGCAAAAUCGUAACAGAAGGAACCCACGGGUGAAUGGCUUCUGCAACGACGUUAGAUGCGAAUCAUGGUGUUUCUGCAGGCUCGCAAAAUCGUAACAGGUAUUCAAAUAUUCUGUCGAAUUCGUCUGGAUUAUUUUUGGAUUAUUCGUCUGAAUUAU